UACAGAGGUCUCAAGCGUUGUUCGGAUUCAUUGGGCGUAAAGGGCGCGUAGGCGGCGGGGUAAGUCUGGUGUGAAAUCUCGGAGCUCAACUCCGAAAUUGCACUGGAUACUGCUCUGCUUGAGGGUUGGAGAGGAGAUCGGAAUUCACGGUGUAGCAGUGAAAUGCGUAGAUAUCGUGAGGAAGACCAGUGGCGAAGGCGGAUCUCUGGACAAAUCCUGACGC
rnacentral:rRNA from 1 species